rnacentral:rRNA from 1 species
UACGAAGGGGGCUAGCGUUGCUCGGAAUCACUGGGCGUAAAGCGCACGUAGGCGGACUCUUAAGUCGGUGGUGAAAUCCUGGAGCUCAACUCCAGAACUGCCUUUGAUACUGAAGAUCUUGAGUCCGGGAGAGGUGAGUGGAACUGCGAGUGUAGAGGUGAAAUUCGUAGAUAUUCGCAAGAACACCAGUAGCGAAGGCGGCUCACUGGCCCGGUACUGACGCUGAGGCACGAAAGCGUGGGGAGCAAACAGG